rnacentral:rRNA from 1 species
CCUACGGGUGGCAGCAGUGGGGAAUAUUGCACAAUGGGCGCAAGCCUGAUGCAGCCAUGCCGCGUGUGUGAAGAAGGCCUUCGGGUUGUAAAGCACUUUCAGCGGGGAGGAAGGCGGGUAGGUUAAUAACCUGAUCGAUUGACGUUACCAGCAGAAGAAGCACCGGCUAACUCCGUGCCAGCAGCCGCGGUAAUACGGAGGGUGCAAGCGUUAAUCGGAAUUACUGGGCGUAAAGCGCACGCAGGCGGUCCGUCAAGUCGGAUGUGAAAUCCCCGGGCUCAACCUGGGAACUGCAUUCGAAACUGGCAGGCUAGAGUCUUGUAGAGGGGGGUAGAAUUCCAGGUGUAGCGGUGAAAUGCGUAGAGAUCUGGAGGAAUACCGGUGGCGAAGGCGGCCCCCUGGACAAAGACUGACGCUCAGGUGCGAAAGCGUGGGGAGCAAACAGGAUUAGAUACCCUUGUAGUC